rnacentral:lncRNA from 1 species
UAAUCUGUGCGUGUGAGAGAGAGUGAGAAAUAUAGUGUUUUCAUUGUGUAUGCAUUAAACUGUUGCUAAAACUCAGAUCUAAGAUUGUUAAGUAGAUAUUUAGGGAACUUUUUUAUCACUUUAAAUGAAAAAUUUCAGCUUUACUGGGCAUUCUGGAAGCAAAAUAUGUUAUGCUGAUGAUAAAGUGAGAACCUUAAGAGUACACUCAUUUGAUGGCGGAAAAUGUGAUGGACCAAAAUGCAGAAGCUAUACACGUCCUAAAGGCUUUUACAUCAAAUAUUGAUAAUGAUAAUAAUAAUGAACACAUGUUGAGCACUUACCAUGUCUCAAGCACUGCUCUAGAGCUUCCCAUGAAAGAACCCCUCUAAUCUUCAGAACAACCCUGUGAGGAGCUGCUGUUAAAUGAACACCUUGAUAUCUUCAUUCUUGGAGAGAAAUGAGCCAAGGAGGAAGACCAUCUAAAAAAUACCACUAGACAAUUUGUGCUCACUGGAGUGGUAUCUGCUGGGCAAAAGGUCUUUAGAAUGACUCGUGGAUUUUCUGGCAAGUGGCAAACCACACAAGUGCUAUGUCAGGCCAGGAAGACAGGUGCAGCCCUGUCAGUGUCAAAGAAGAACACUGGUAGCAGAAGAGCUAAGAGUGAAUGAAAAUUGAAUUAUCUUUAUUUCUAGGACUUGUCUAUUGAGAAACAACAGUGCUGGCAACCAUUUACUACCAACAAGAGGCAGUUCCAAGAGAAGAAUAUAAAAUAUGCUCUGCUCAAUCCCACAAAACUCAGAGUGUCUCACAAUGGCCAAUUUCUUAUUUUUACCCUGUCCAGAGACAAGGAAGGAUGUAUCAGGGAGCUGCUAGCCUCUGCGAUGAAUAACUUGAGUCAGGCUGCAACAUGUGAAAGAAUUCAGCUGAUCAGGAUUUAUAACACUAGCUGGAUUUUUUGCUUUCUUUGGGGUUCAUGAAGCGUGGUGUUGUGAGAUACCACAGGAUUCCCAGAAUAAAGUUACAUACCUAUUUCUCUUCCUUAUUUUUAUUUUUUUGGCACGUUCAUACCAUUUUAUUACCAACAUCGUUGGCAUCCCUGAGUAUGAGAGUUCAGAAGAAACUUAGAGGCUAUUGUCUGAUUCAAUCCUUGCAGCUUACAAAAAGAAAUGUGGGGAGCAGUCACUGUGUGACUAGCCUGAGGUCACUCAGGAAGUUAGAGGCAGAACUGCAGCCAGGGUCACCUCUCUUUACUGCUACUAGUGUGCUCUUUCUACUGCACCCUGAUCAUAAAACAUCUCCCAACCCAGGAACAAGGUCUACCGCAUAGGUGGUCACAGCAGCAUGAUCACUAUCUCAGUCAUCUGUACUCCUCCUUUGCUUUGACCAAAGACACAGGAAGGGACCUUUUGCCCCACAUAAAACACCUCUCAGAGGCUUGGCAACAACAACAGAUAAUAGAGAGCAUUGACCUAAGACCAACAUUUCAACCAUGGUGUCAAAACAAUAUUUUAUUUCAGCAAAGAAAAACUAUGUCACAAGUGGAUUAUUAUUACUAAUAAUCAGACUAGUGGUACUUGCGAAUGACUUGGUUUCAUACUCACACUUGGACAACUAUGCACACUGAGUAUAACUGACCUUAUGAGAACAUCAUUCUCACUAAGAUUAUGAUGUGCUUUCUCACGUGAGAACUGUACAUAAUAUUGUGUGUACCCUUGGGAGGAUGUCCUGCCUGUGAUGUUGUCUUUCAGGGGAAGAAGAAUGGUUGAGAAUUGAGGGUAUAUUAAACAUUUACUCCUCCAGAUUUUUCAAGAUUUCUGUUAAGCCAGAUCAGAAGAAAGCCAUCUAUUUGGAUUGCAUCACUCUAACCUGGAAAUACCAAUAUUUUCUAAGCAUGGCAAGUGUUUCCAAGCAUUCAGAAGUGGAGAGUGUGGGAAAUCCACUGCAGAAUGAGGUCUGCUUGUCAUCCUCUCAGUCUCAACUGCUCUCCCUCCUUCAUCGCUCUCUGUUUCAUUGGUGAGUAUAGAAGAUCAGGCAUUUUUAUAUGAAAUGAAAAUUGAUGGAACUAAGGUGUUGAUUUGAAUAUCCAACCGACCAUUUAUUGAGUGUCCAUUACAAGUUAAAUUGUGUUGUAGAGAACAGCUCAGGAAAUGAAUGCUUGACAUUGAUGUACAUAACAAAAAUACAAACAUACCAUUAAAAAAUCAGACCUCUUAUGAGCAUCCAGAUUCUCAUGUAAGUUUUGUGAAGCUCUUUCAAAAUGAGAAUGUAAAAUUUCAAAAAAAACAUCAUUUUCACAAGUCAUUCUUGAGACAGAAAAGUGGAAAUAGAAGUUCAUAUAUGGAUGUUUCACUAGCUCAAAUCUUAUGUACAGUUUUUAAUCAAUUGACACCCAUAUAAUUCUUAGUUUUAUAUACUGAUAGUCAUUAGAAAUUACAAAUUUUAAAAAAUAUUCAUGUCUCAUUCUACGAAUCAAUCUAAAAAUUGCAUUCAUUUGGUUAUAUUUCUUCAUUUUACCUGGCCUUGAAUACUUCUUUCCUGCCCAGCAUUAAAUUUAAUUAAUGUCUAAUUUGUUUACUUGGUUUAGUUAUUUUGGCCAUGUUCAGUACACUUGUUAUGAAGCAGGCAUGUAGGAAUGUUGACAAGUUUAUGGUCCUCACUCUUCCAAAUCCCUAAUGGCGGCACCCCAACAGACACAUACCACAAUGUAAACACAUACACACACACACAAUCACACCCACCCAUACUCACCCACGUACACACAGACACACACACACACUCCAGUGGAUCAACACAUAAAACACUCCACAGGCAGACAUCGUACAGCAGGGAUCUCUUAGUGCACUACACACUUCUGUAAAUUAUCAGGACUCUUCAAUUGAGGUGAGUCUACAGAGAUUUCAAAGGCUAUUUGAGUGCUAAGCUAUCUAACUAGUGGUUGGACACUAUUUAAAUAAUGCAUUAAACACAACUCUUGAGGCUCUGAAGAAUUUCUGUGCUUUCCAAUGAACCAGGAGUUACAAGGUUCUGAAAGCCACAACUGUGUUACAUCCUUUAAUAGAUAAAGCAAAGCUGAUUUUAAUGUGAAUAUACUUUAUAGUUAUUUCUAUUCCUGUUAAUUUUUGUUUGCUUGUAAUACACAUUUUUAUGUAACUGGGAGUAAGGAACAUCUUAGGAAAAAUAAAACAAAAAAUAAAAUUUCGCUGUUUACACUGUGCCUUGGUCCAGUAACCCUGCACUGCACAUAUACACUUUAAAUUGGUGUCUUGGGGAACCACUUUGGUAUUUCUUUUUUUUUCGUUUAUGUUGUAAACCUUUCUU